rnacentral:rRNA from 1 species
AAAGGCAAAAGCGCGCUUAACUGCGAGACCCACAAGUCGAGCAGGUACGAAAGUAGGUCUUAGUGAUCCGGUGGUUCUGUAUGGAAGGGCCAUCGCUCAACGGAUAAAAGGUACUCUGGGGAUAACAGGCUGAUACCGCCCAAGAGUUCAUAUCGACGGCGGUGUUUGGCACCUCGAUGUCGGCUCAUCUCAUCCUGGGGCUGAAGCAGGUCCCAAGGGUAUGGCUGUUCGCCAUUUAAAGAGGUACGCGAGCUGGGUUUAGAACGUCGUGAGACAGUUCGGUCCCUAUCUACCGUGGGCGUUGGAAAUUUGAGAGGAUCUGCUCCUAGUACGAGAGGACCAGAGUGGACGAACCUCUGGUGUACCGGUUGUGACGCCAGUCGCAUCGCCGGGUAGCUAUGUUCGGAAGGGAUAACCGCUGAAAGCAUCUAAGCGGGAAGCCUACCUCAAGAUAAGAUUUCCCCGAGACUUUAUGUCUCCUAAAGAGCCGUUGAAGACUACGACGUUGAUAGGUUGGAUGUGGAAGCAUAGUGAUAUGUGAAGCUGACCAAUACUAAUUGCUCGUGAGGCUUGACUAUACAACACCCAAACAGUUG